rnacentral:rRNA from 1 species
UACAGAGGUCUCAAGCGUUGUUCGGAUUCAUUGGGCGUAAAGGGUGCGUAGGCGGCGCGGUAAGUCGGAUGUGAAAUCUCGGAGCUUAACUUCGAAACUGCAUUCGAUACUGGCGUGCUUGAGGACUGGAGAGGAGACUGGAAUUCAUGGUGUAGCAGUGAAAUGCGUAGAGAUCAUGAGGAAGACCAGUGGCGAAGGCGGGUCUCUGGACAGUUCCUGACACUGAGACACGAAGGCCAGGGGAGCAAACGGG